AUCUAAAUAGUUUAAUUAAAAAUAUUGAUUUGUGGUGUCAAAGUUAUAUUAUAUAUUUUAGAUU
rnacentral:tRNA from 1 species